UACGGAGGGUGCAAGCGUUGUCCGGAAUCACUGGGCGUAAAGCGCACGUAGGCGGUUCGUUAUGUCGGAUGUGAAAGCCCUUGGCUUAACCGAGGAAGUGCAUCCGAAACUGGCGAGCUAGAGUACGAAAGAGGAUCGCGGAAUUCCCGGUGUAGAGGUGAAAUUCGUAGAUAUCGGGAGGAACACCGGUGGCGAAGGCGGCGAUCUGGGUCGAUACUGACGCUGAGGUGCGAAAAGCGUGGGGGAGCAAACAGG
rnacentral:rRNA from 1 species